UAACGGCGAGUGAAGCGGCAACAGCUCAAAUUUGAAAUCUGGCUCUUUCAGGGUCCGAGUUGUAAUUUGUAGAAGAUGCUUCGGGUGUGGCUCCGGUCUAAGUUCCUUGGAACAGGACGUCAUAGAGGGUGAGAAUCCCGUACGUGACUGGUUGCCUUCGCCCAUGUGAAGCUCUUUCGACGAGUCGAGUUGUUUGGGAAUGCAGCUCAAAAUGGGUGGUAAAUUUCAUCUAAAGCUAAAUAUUGGCCAGAGACCGAUAGCGCACAAGUAGAGUGAUCGAAAGAUGAAAAGCACUUUGGAAAGAGAGUUAAACAGUACGUGAAAUUGUUGAAAGGGAAGCGCUUGCAACCAGACUUGCGCGCUGCUGAUCAUCCGGGGUUCUCUCCGGUGCACUCGGUUGCGCUCAGGCCAGCAUCGGUUUGGGUGGUUGGAUAAAGGCUGUGGGAAUGUAGCUUCUCUCGGGGAGUGUUAUAGCCCACGGUGCAAUGCAGCCUACCCGGACCGAGGACCGCGCUUCGGCUAGGAUGCUGGCGUAAUGGUUGUAAGCGA
rnacentral:rRNA from 1 species